UGCAGCAGGUCAGUGAUGAUGAACCAGUGCCUGCUGAUGAUGACCAACACCUCUCAUCUAAUCUACCAGAGCCAAGUGAAAAGGAUGGCAAUCAAACUGAACUGUGUGACAGAGGUUUUUGUACGACGGCUUCAUUGGAAUGUAUCACUGUGGAGGACUUUUGGUGGCGGAACCAAACUCAUUAUAAGAACUGGUCCGGUGGUGAAGCCCUCCGUGUCUCUGCUCCCUCCCUCCUCUCUGCAGCUCUCUGAGGGAUCGGCCUCACUGUUCUGCCUGCUCUCAGCCUAUUCUCCACAGGGGGCGCUGCUGACCUGGACCGUGGAUGGUGCCGAGGUGAACGAGGGGAUUGUGACCAGCACAGAAGAACAGAAGAACGGCUUCUACAGCCGCAGCAGCACCCUGACCCUCAGCAAAGAACGCUGGGAAGAGGCCGAGGUGUUCGGCUGUACCGUCUCCUACCACGACACGACUCAGAUCACCUCGUUCCGAAAGAGUCGCUGUGACGCUCACUAGAAAUCAAGUGUACACUUUAAUGCAUGCUUUGUGGUCUAAAAUGGUGUC